AUGGUCAUUUUGGCAGCAUAUAUACUUAAUUUGGAAUGAUACAGAGAAGAGUAGCAUGGCCCCUGCACAAGGGUGACAUACAUAAGAAUAAUGACCUAAACUC
ensembl:snRNA U6 U6 spliceosomal RNA